rnacentral:tRNA from 1 species
GCGCGAGUGGCCGAGUGAUUAGGCCUCGGUCUGCAAAACCGAUGCACGCCAGUUCGAUCCUGGCCUUGCGCU